AACGCACCUUGCGCCCUUUGGUAUUCCGAAGGAGCAUGCCUGUUUGAGUGUCAUUAAAUCAUCAACCUGCCUUCGCUUUACUAGCGUUCGGAGUGGCUUGGAAUUGGAGGUUUCUUGUCGGCUCUCGCGAGUCGGCUCCUCUUGAAGACAUUAGUCGGACUCGGUCGCUCCGUCGCGGUACGCGGUGUGAUAACUUAUUCACCCAUUGGUAAACCCGCCUCUUGCGUCCGGCUGGCUUCUAACUCGCGCUUCGGCGCACCUUUGACAAUCUGACCUCAAAUCAGGUAGGACUACCCGCUGAACUUAA
rnacentral:misc_RNA from 1 species